GCUUGUCUCAAAGAUUAAGCCAUGCAUGUCUAAGUAUAAGCAUCUUAUACGGCGAAACUGCAGAUGGCUCAUUAAAUCAGUUAUAGUUUAUUUGAUGAUUACCUUACUACAUGGAUACCCGUAGUAAUUCUAGAGCUAAUACAUGCGCAAACGGGACUCCGCAAGGGGCCCAGUAUUUAUUAGAUUAAAAACCAUCUCCACAUGGUGAGUCAUAAUAACUUUUCGAAUCGCCGCUCUGCGACGAUAGAUCUUGCAAAUUUCUGCCCUAUCAGCUUUCGACGGUAGUGUAGUGGACUACCGUGGCGUUAACGGGUGACGGGGAAUUAGGGUUCGGUUCCGGAGAGGGAGCCUGAGAAAUGGCUACCACAUCCAAGGAAGGCAGCAGG
rnacentral:rRNA from 1 species